UACGUAGGGCGCAAGCGUUGUCCGGAAUUAUUGGGCGUAAAGAGCUCGUAGGCGGCCUGUUGCGUCCGCUGUGAAAUCCCGGGGCUUAACCCCGGGCUUGCAGUGGAUACGGGCAGGCUGAGGCAGGCAGGGGAGAACGGAAUUCCCGGUGUAGCGGUGAAAUGCGCAGAUAUCGGGAGGAACACCGGUGGCGAAGGCGGUUCUCUGGGCCUGUACUGACGCUGAGGAGCGAAAGCGUGGGGAGCGAACAGG
rnacentral:rRNA from 1 species